rnacentral:misc_RNA from 1 species
UAUUAUACAGUCUCACUAUCCUCGACCACCUACUACAUCGGCAAGUUUACCUGCUGCUGUUGGUGGAUCUUUGACUGAUCUAGGUUCCCAUUCUGCACAGCCGGGACAUCCUGGCUCAACAUUCCAAAGUGGCCCGCCUUUGUAUCAACCUGGAGGUAAUAUGGGAUCUUGGGGUCCAUCUCCUCCUCCUCCAAAUGCCGGAGCUGGUGGACUUGCUAUGCCAAUGUAUUGGCAA